UACGUAGGCAGCAAGCGUUGUUCGGAGUUACUGGGCGUAAAGGGUGCGUAGGCGGCUUUUUAAGUUUGGUGUGAAAUCUCCCGGCUCAACUGGGAGGGUGCGCCGAAUACUGAGAAGCUAGAGUGUGGGAGAGGAAAGUGGAAUUCCUGGUGUAGCGGUGAAAUGCGUAGAUAUCAGGAGGAACACCGGUGGCGAAGGCGGGUCUCUGGGCCGAUACUGACGCUGAGGAGCGAAAAGCGUGGGGGAGCGAACAGG
rnacentral:rRNA from 1 species